rnacentral:rRNA from 1 species
GACGUAGGGGGCCAGCGUUGUUCGGAAUUACUGGGUGUAAAGGGUUCGUAGGCGGUGUGGCAAGUCGGGAGUGAAAUCUCUGGGCUCAACCCAGAGCCUGCAUCCGAAACUGGAGAGCUAGGGUUCUGGAGGGGAAAGCGGAAUUCCUGGUGUAGCGGUGAAAUGCGCAGAUAUCAGGAAGAACACCCGUGGCUAAGGCGGCUCUCUAGUAGCGGUACUGACGCUGAGACGCGAAAGCGUGGG